AGUGAACGCUGGCGGUAGGCCUAACACAUGCAAGUCGAACGGCAGCACAGUAAGAGCUUGCUCUUACGGGUGGCGAGUGGCGGACGGGUGAGGAAUACAUCGGAAUCUACUUUUUCGUGGGGGAUAACGUAGGGAAACUUACGCUAAUACCGCAUACGACCUACGGGUGAAAGCAGGGGAGCUUCGGACCUUGCGCGAUUGAAUGAGCCGAUGUCGGAUUAGCUAGUUGGCGGGGUAAAGGCCCACCAAGGCGACGAUCCGUAGCUGGUCUGAGAGGAUGAUCAGCCACACUGGAACUGAGACACGGUCCAGACUCCUACGGGAGGCAGCAGUGGGGAAUAUUGGACAAUGGGCGCAAGCCUGAUCCAGCCAUACCGCGUGGGUGAAGAAGGCCUUCGGGUUGUAAAGCCCUUUUGUUGGGAAAGAACAGCAGCAGGUUAAUACCCCGCUGUUCUGACGGUACCCAAAGAAUAAGCACCGGCUAACUUCGUG
rnacentral:rRNA from 1 species